rnacentral:snoRNA from 1 species
AAGACUGUACUCCACAAGGAUCAUUUCUUGAGGAAGUAUCAGUCCGAUUCACAGAGAACACUACAAUCUUCAACAGCCACGAUGAUGACUGGCAGCUUUCCUCUCGGAGCGUGAGGCAGCGAGCGACCUCGGUCGUAUCGCAUCGAUGAUCGCAGAUGAGAGGUCAGCAAUUUGAGUGGU